rnacentral:rRNA from 1 species
AGUGAACGCUGGCGGUAGGCCUAACACAUGCAAGUCGAACGGCAGCACAGUAAGAGCUUGCUCUUACGGGUGGCGAGUGGCGGACGGGUGAGGAAUACAUCGGACUCUACUUUUUCGUGGGGGAUAACGUAGGGAAACUUACGCUAAUACCGCAUACGACCUACGGGUGAAAGCAGGGGAUCUUCGGACCUUGUGCGAUUGAAUGAGCCGAUGUCGGAUUAGAUAGUUGGCGGGGUAAAGGCACACCAAGGCGACGAUCCGUAGCUGGUCUGAGAGGGUGAGCAGCCAUGAUGGGAUGGAGAGACGGACCGGACUCGUGCGAGAGGCAGCAGUGGGAAAGAAGGGAGAAGUGGCGCAAGCCGGAUCCAGCCAUACCGCGUGGGUGAAGAAGGCCGUGGGGUUGUAAAGCCCUUUCGGUGGGAAAGAAAAUCAGCAGGGUAAUACCCCGAUGGUCUGACGGUACGCAAAGAAUAGGCACCGUCUAUCCGCG